rnacentral:rRNA from 1 species
ACAACCAGGAUGUUGGCUUAGAAGCAGCCACUCAUUCAAAGAGUGCGUAAUAGCUCACUGGUCGAGUGAUCCUGCGCCGAAGAUUUCCGGGGCUAAAACUUACUACCGAAGCUACGGCAUCAUUAUGAUGGGUAGGGGAGCUUCCCAUACGGGUUGAAGCAUGACCGUAAGGACAUGUGGACAGUAUGGGAGUGAGAAUGUUGGCAUGAGUAGCGAGAUGUGGGUGAGAAUCCCACAGGCCGUAAACCCAAGGUUUCCAGGGGAAGGUUCGUCCGCCCUGGGUUAGUCGGGACCUAAGCUGAGGCCGAAAGGCGUAGGUGAUGGACAACAGGUUGAUAUUCCUGUACUACCGAUAACCGUUUGAGAGAUGGGAUGACACAGUAGGAUAAGCUAAGCACACUGUUGGUUAUGUGUGCCCAAGCAUUGAGGCAGUCAAAGUAGGCAAAUCCGCUUUGAUAAUGCUGGGAUGUGAUGGGUAGCGAAAUUUAGUAGCGAAGUAGCUGAUUUCACACUGUCAAGAAAAGUCUCUAUCGAGGUUAAAGGUACCCGUACCGCAAACCGACACAGGUGGGUGAGGAGAGUAUCCUAAGGCCAGCGAG